AGAGGGAGCUGUCCCUGCCUAUAGCAGGGGGGUUGGAACUGGAUGAUCUCGAGGGUCCCUUCCAACCCAAACCAUUCUAUGAUUCUAUGUUUAUCUCAUCUGAAGAUUAUUUGCUGAAACAGAGGAAGCACUUUUGCUAAACCCAGUCGCACUCUCCAGGUUGUUCACUGGCUCCCUCUCCACUGGGCAACCUGGGAAUUUUUGUGAGUUAUAGAGAUUUUCGUUAAAUCUUUUCCUUAUAGCACUUCUAUUCCAAUUCUGAAUCUCUUUUCUCAGCCAUUUAUGUUCCUGACCUUCCUCCAAAUAUUUGAGUCAAUACGGAAAUCUGAAAAGCUGACCUUGUCAGCUUCUUUUACAUGGGACUCCACAGAGAGUCUUUUUGGUUGGUAUUUAAGACUGCUGAGAGGUUUAAAAAGGGGCUGAUGUAUUUGUGGUAUGAAGGAGGAUCAAUUGGCCUUUUAGGGAGGCUGAAGGUAAAGCUGGGAAUUCAAAGGGCAUAAGCAGUAAGUUUGAUAGAAACUUUGGUUUGCCUCUUGGCUGUGGUUAAGUGGUCUCUCUCGUGUUUAAUUUCACAUCUGAGUCUGUUUUUGGACUCAGAGAUGAAAAGGCAGUCAGUCAUUGCAUGGAAGUCUUUGUGUGGAACUCCUCCCAUUUUUUUGUGUUGUUCAUUGCAUAGAUAUGACUGGGUGUGUUAAUUUAGGAUGAAGAUUGCGCUGGCACGACAAAGCUGAAUUUUCUCAAGGUUAAGCUGCUGCAUAUCCUCCACCUGGAGCCACACUCAAAAACAAUGUGGACAUCAGUCAGGACAAGGCAAUUUGCUUUAUGAGCAGUGUGGUUCACCAGGAGAAAAUGAAAGAUUUGGGGGAAUCAGCCUGAUGCCAGCAGAGCAUUAGUAACAUAUGAAUAUUUCUCAUAAAAAUCCAGUUCUGACUAAAUAUUUUUGUUGUAAACAACUGCUGCUGAAAUGAUACAUGAGAAGAAAUAUCCUACUUCAUAGCAAUGUUUGGAGUCUUUCUCCUUUCGCGGUAUAAAAGCAUCAAUUUUUCUUUGGCUUUUGUAGCUCUGGCAGAUAAAACAUAGAGGGUAGCUUGAAGGAUCAUCUAGUUUAACCUCUGUUAGCACAUGAAUGCAUGAAACAAUAUUAAAGAGAAAAUAGAAACACCUCAGCGUUGGAUCAAGUGCUCAGUUUGUAUUUACAGGCUGGGCUGUAAUUUGUGAAGAUGCUGAAUGACAGGUUCUUAUUUCCCUGACUGCUAAAUAAAAAGAGGUGGAGAUUCUGGUGGAAAUAAAAUCCUCAUCUUUCACUACUACAAUUCUUUUUUUUUUUUUUUUUCCUAAUUGUAUUCAACUGUUUUUCUCACUCUUUGGAUAAAAAUCUGUAUGUUCUGUAUGUUUCAUUUGGCUUUCUGGUCUUUUUCCUCAGUGGCACAGUUUGACAGUGCUGAUUUCCUUCCACCCAUCAACAUGAUAAAUAUGAAGGUUGUCAUACCAGACCCAUCACGCAGAAUGACUGGAAACUUCAACAGUUCCAGAGAAGUCUCAGCGUGCAAAUCUGAUUGCUUGAACACAUGCUUUGUGCAGUAAGUUGUAAGUCUGAAGAGACUGAAAUGAUUGAGUAAGUUUUGGCUACUCAUACAUUUUUCAGUUUCCAUAGCAGAGGAGGCGGGGGAAGUAAGCCAGAAGUGGGGAGCCAUGGACAGAAAGAACAAAAGCAGAACUAUUGAUGGGCAGUGCGGAGGUGUCAGUUUAUUCAUUUAUUUGCUUCUUCCUGUACCACUUCCUUGCUAGUUUGCAUUAGGCCCAGUAUGAGUCCAUGAAAUUUGAAUGAGUUUGCAAUCCUUUUCAGAUAAGAGUAGCUCUUGCUUAGGAAAAAAAAAAAAAAAGGUAAAAUAUAGUACUCAGUUAUGCAAGAAUAGGGAUAAAGUACAGAGCAGCUGACUAGAGGCAAAUAGACUAAGUGCUGGAGGAAGCAGGGAUGCUGUUGAUGUAUCUUCUAAUGAUUCUUUAUUAAGAACAGACAAUAUAUGCACUCUCCUUUUCUGGCUUCUGUUCAGCUAGAUGCCAUCAACAGAGGAAAGCUAACAACAGUGGUUUUGGGAUAGGCAUAUAUUAGGAGUGUGAUGGAGGCUGCAAAGAGACAGAAGUGCAGAUUCAGAAAGAGUACUGUGCUUACACUUUCUGCAGUGAAAACAGCAUAGAUUUGAAUGCUGCCAUUGCUACUGAUUCACAUUGACUUCACUGAGAAAUACACGCAGUCAGAGACCUGGAGUUUGAUUUUAUAUGGCUAAACACUGAAGCAUAAUUGUCAUUGGCUUUUCAAGGCAAAAAAUUCAAUUAUUGGGAUUUUGAGACCGCUUACUAUUUUCUUAGAGUUGUUUUAAGGUCUGUUCAGCAGCUGCACCUUUCCAGAGAGAAUAUCUUUGAUCCCACCAAUGUGUUUUGGCUAUCUAGUCUAACAGUCUCCUGGCCAAUAUGUGUGAAAGGCAGAACUCAAUAUCCUUUGCCUGAGAAACAGCAACUUGGAAGGAUAACAUGCAGCCAUCAGAGGAGCUGGUACAGCCAUCUGUUUGCCACUCCACCUUGAUCACAGAGCCUCACUUCACCAAAGCAAGUGAACAUCAACUGUUUCCAGAAUUUCCUUGCUGAGGAGCCUUGCCAAUUUUCUGCCCCUGUCUGCAUCCCUGGUGUGUUACAUGACAGAAACAAUGCCUGCUGACCUAUCUGGCAUCCUCAGAUUUCAUGACAGAUGUGAACUGAAAGUUCUCUGCACAAGCAUUUAUUCUUUGUUCCCAUGAGCAGAAGGAGAGUUCUCACUGUUAGUCCACGUACUGUACACUACCAUAGUCUGAUUCCAAAUGGGAGUAGCUCGUGGUAUGUUGAUAGUUUUCUUCUGGCAGGGACUAUUAAGAUGAGACUUGAGACUGAGGUCAGAAUGUUUGCACUUGAGUGCAAACAAAGUGUAAGCAUAUAUAUAUGUGUAUAACAGCAAAUUAGAACAACUUGGCCAUAAAUACAGAAGAUGGGGGGCAUAAGGGGAAGAGAUGGGGUGCAUAGAAGAGUGCUGCUUCUGCUCCUCUGGUAAAUACUGCUUCCCUUCAGCCAGCUAAUUCAGAAAGCGGGAGCCCAAGGAGGGUCCCUAGUCUGGCACCAGUGGCAAUUCCUGAUGUUCAUCUUAAUCCAUAUGCCAGCAUCCUAUUCAGGGGAUCAGAAUAGGAGGUUAGUGAGAGAAAGAUCCUGCAGAGGCCGACUGAAAGCAGGACCUCCUGUAGCCUGAAAGAAUCUCUGCUUGGAGAAUGGAAGGAAUCUGUUGGGGUGCUUGCUUCGGGCUGCUGGAAUCAAUGCACAACCGUGGAGCAAAGUGACUGCAAUGGAAACACACUCACAGAAAGCUGUGCUAACAGAAUUUUGAAACCAAUUUGCCUUUAGAUAUCCCACAAACAGAAAAAGAAACAUCUGAUAAAUUAUUCAUUGUGAAUUAUUUGCAUAGGCUGAUAGGAACUCAUUAAACACCCAAAGAUUGAUUUACGGGAAGGAAAUGGAGAAAAUCUUCAGAGUGGUAUCUAUCUUCUUCUCAGCUUCCAGUAAUUGUCUCUCAGGUGAAUGAAUUUGCCUCUUUCUUCUGCUGUUAUUCUUUACUUCUUGGACUACUUUAUAGAAUGUUUUACGGCGGAGACUUCCUGUGAGCCAAAGAGCCUGGAUUUCAUAGCUGUAUAUUAAAGUGCACCAGAAAACAGUAGAAGGCAUCACAUUUUCUCCUCUUACUUGUGGCUGAAUUGCUACAAAUUUUUAAAUUGCCAUACUUAAAAGUAUUAGCUACAGAUACAUAAAUCUCCCAUUUUUUUUAAGCACAUCUCAGUCUCUCCAGGCCAAGAACCCAGCUUUUACAUUAAGUAAUAUGAAAAGCCAUUCUAAGUGCCUCUGUUUCAGAAUAUCCAAACGGAGCCAAUUUAAAGGGACAUAGCUAGGGGCAACCUAAAUCACUAUAUCAUACUGAACUUUGAAAAUACUUGAUUAUACGUUUGUGUUUGUAGAAAAGGGGCUGAAUCUUUAUCCAGGAUGUUUCAAGCAAUUUUUUGGUGUACCUUGUUCUUGAAACCCUAGUAAAGAUGUUUCCACAGUCAACCUAGGCAGCAUAUUCCCACUGUGUGCCUAUUCUUGGAUUUAAGAUGUGGAAAUUAAAUUAUAUUUGCUGCAAAUUAAGCUGAUUUUGUCUUAUUCCACCUUCAGGGGACAUGGGAAACACUUGAUACCUGUCCUUCUUGUAUAUCUUUUUUUUCAUACAGCACAGUAUUGCUGUGAUUCUCCUCGAAUUAAUCUUUACUCGUCUAAGCAGGUUUUCCCAUAGAAGGUGCAUUUUCUGACACCUCACCUUCAUCUGGAUAUGUACUCUGCAAAUGUGGUGCCUAAAAAAAACCCUCUUCCAUGUUAUCCCUAUGUUGUUGUUUUGAUAAGUGUUGUAAGGAUUAGGCUUUGUGGUUUUGUAACUAAUUUUCAAUGAAGCGGCGAAUGGGUGCAACCUCAGAUCCUCACCUACAGAACUACUGUUUAGCUGAUUUUCCCAAGUCUUGUCUCUGUGCCACUGAUUUCUCUCUGCUUGUGGAUUUGUCUUUUCUGAAUUUCUUACUGUAGAUAUCAUAUCAUCCUUACAUUGUGCCAAGUGACUUCUAAAUUCAACCGCUGAAAUCGUGUAGUUGUUGCUAACUUAGCACUACAGAAACUACCUUAUUGAUAUCCUCUCCCUUCCAUGACUACUACACUAGUAGUUGUGAAAGCGUUGAACAUAGUUGGGCCUGGACAGCCCAUGGGAGAUCUACCUCCCAUGUGUCUGCUAAGUAAAACGCUGAGUGCACAAAAUAU